GUAGCACAGCGGAUAGUGCAGCAGUUUCCUAAACUGCAGGUCGGGAGUUCGAAUCUCUNNGAUGCCA
rnacentral:tRNA from 1 species